rnacentral:rRNA from 1 species
AGUGAACGCUGGCGGUAGGCCUAACACAUGCAAGUCGAACGGCAGCACAGGAGAGCUUGCUCUCUGGGUGGCGAGUGGCGGACGGGUGAGGAAUACAUCGGAAUCUACUCUGUCGUGGGGGAUAACGGAGGGAAACUUACGCUAACACCGCAUACGACCUACGGGUGAAAGCAGGGGACCUUCGGGCCUUGCGCGAUUGAAUGAGCCGAUGUCGGAUUAGCUAGUUGGCGGGGUAAAGGCCCACCAAGGCGACGAUCCGUAGCUGGUCUGCGAGGAUGAUCAGCCACACUGGAACUGAGACACGGUCCAGACGCCUACGGGAGGCAGCAGUGGGGGAUAUUGGACAAUGGGCGCAAGCCUGAUCCAGCCAUACCGCGUGGGUGAAGAAGGCCUUCGGGUUGUAAAGCCCUUUUGUUGGGAAAGAAAUCCAGCUGGCUAAUACCCGGUUGGGAUGACGGUACCCAAAGAAUAAGCACCGGCUAACUUCGUGCCAGCAGCCGCCGUAA